rnacentral:rRNA from 1 species
UAAGGAAUAUUGGUCAAUGGACGCAAGUCUGAACCAGCCAUGCCGCGUGAAGGAUGAAGGUCCUCUGGAUUGUAAACUUCUUUUAUCUGGGACGAAAACGGGAUUUUUAUCUCAAUUGACGGUACCAGAGGAAUAAGCACCGGCUAACUCCGUGCCAGCAGCCGCGGUAAUACGGAGGGUGCGAGCGUCAUCCGGAUUUACUGGGUUUAAAGGGUGCGUAGGUGGGCUUAUAAGUCAGUGGUGAAAUCUCCGAGCUUAACUUGGAAACUGCCGUUGAUACUAUAGGUCUUGAAUUAUCUGGAGGUAAGCGGAAUAUGUCAUGUAGCGGUGAAAUGCUUAGAUAUGACAUAGAACACCAAUUGCGAAGGCAGCUUACUGCAUAUAAAUUGACGCUGAGGCACGAAAGCGUGGGGAUCAAAC